rnacentral:rRNA from 1 species
CGGCACUCGAGAAACAUCGAACUGGUAAAUUAGAGGUUUUGCGAACGACAGCAACUUUGUCUAAGACUUGCUAAGUAACGACUUAGUUAGUAGUUUGAGGAUUAACGAGCUGUGUUAAUCUUCUUGCAAUACCUCAGAGCCGAGAACGAGUUCUUAACUGUAGUAGGAUUUUUUUUACUACGUAGGUACUCUCUACGAAAUAAGAAUGUCUGAAAAAGGAUACGUCAACAGUUCCAAGACGAUCUGUAGUUUGACGAAUUUGUCAAGCUCGGGUCGUAGAAUAGUUGGUUUUCUAGCACUAGUAAGUGCAGUAAAGUCUUACUGUCCUUCGACCCCAGUACGGUCGCCUGUGUAGAUUUAGUGUAGUGUAAGCUCAAGUGGAAGGUAGUAAGUCUUCUACCUCUAACUCAAGCUAGUCACCUCCAAUCCUCUGAGCUUGAGGACUGUAGGACGAACGUUUCGUCCGCGAGAUGGUUGACUCGAUUUGGGGGUUGUGGCUUACCCGGUAGGACCUGAACUUGGUCCCUGGAGUGGGAAUAGUCCCCACGCGAGAUUGGUGGACUCGAUUACCGGGUCCUUCUGAGUUGGGAACACCCUACACUGGAUCUGUUUCAAAUCCUUGACUUUUAAAGGUAGUUCGUUAGGUAUAGAGAUACGUAAGAACUGAAGUUUUAACUCCAUGGCUAGCUGGAUUCCACUGUCCUAAAGCCGGAUUCUUAAUUCAUGAGUCUGUAGUUUUAGUAACAAACAGAGGGAC